rnacentral:rRNA from 1 species
CCUACGGGUGGCAGCAGUGAGGAAUAUUGGUCAAUGGGCGCGAGCCUGAACCAGCCAAGUAGCGUGCGGGAAGACGGCCCUACGGGUUGUAAACCUCUUUUGUCGGGGAGCAACGCGCGCCACGUGUGGCGCCUCUGAGAGUACCCGGAGAAAAGGCAUCGGCUAAUCCCGUCCCGGCGGCCGGGGUAAUACGGAGGCUCGGGCGGUUAUCCGGAUUUAUGGGGUUUAAGGGGUGCGUAGGCGGAGCGUUAAGUGAGUGGUAAAAUUGCGGGGCUCAACCGCGUCCCGCCAGGGAAACUGGCGCGCUUGAGUGGAAGGGAAGUAUGCGGAAUGCGUGGUGUAGCGGUGAAAUGCAUAGAUAUGACGAAGAACCCCGAUUGCGAAGGCAGCAUGCCG